GCAUUGGUGGUAUAGUGGUGAGCAUAGCUGCCUUCAAAGCAAUUGAGCUGGGUUUGAUUUCCGGCCAACGAA